GCGGGAGGGGAGGAUUGGGGGGAACCGCAGCUAGAGGAACCGGCAUCCCCUCCAUCCAGCUUUCGGUUGCUGGAAAAGAACAAAAGCAGUUGACAGGUGAACCUGAAGAAUUGGUUUCCGGCAGGUGCCCCCAAGGUGCGGUGACACGUUUCCACCACCUUCCCUGCACGUGCCUUUUGGGAGCAGGUCCUCUAUUGCUGCAUUUGGUGCUGCUUCUAGGAAGCUGUCCCUGUCCUGCUUUUUCAUUUGGUUUGUUUUGCUCCAUCUCUUCCCUCUCCUCCUCAGUUCUGGCUCGUGAGGUUGGCCUCUCAAAGACAGAAUAUUAUUUUGAAGUUCCAUGGGAUCUUUUAUUGAAAGGUUAUCCACUGAAAAGUUGGCAGGUAGAGUCCCACUGGAAAACAACCAAAACUUUGAGCAGGUUUAAAAUCUGAGAUAGAACCGUUCCCUUGUCACCGUUUCCAGGAAGGACCACUGGGCACUACUGUAUAAGGGUCUGUUCAUUGGUGACAAUGGUACUUCCUUGGAGAAAGCACCUGUGGCCUUGGCGGGAAUCCCACAGCAGUCCACUGUGACACUUGUCUAAACAGUGAACACGGAUGAAUUAAUGAUGACCGGCCACUUCUUUUGAAGCAUUAUUUGAAUAUUAGGACUGGGAAGUGUAUGCAGCCCAGGAUGUUUUACUUUAUCUCCUUUUAAACGAGGCUGAAGAAGCAGAUACAGGAGUUAAAUUUUCUUUGAAAAGACAAGUGACAGCCCUGGAGCAGAAAGGAGCCAUACAUUCCUACUGCGUAAGAGCGAAUUAAUUGCCUGAUGUCCAUGGUGACCGACACCGUAUGAGGAAUCCAACCAAACCAUGGCACUCCAGGAACUUACAGAAACAUGAAUGGCUACACAUUUGAGAUGAGGGUCUAAAGGAUGCGGAACAUCAAGCAAGAUGUGGGGCAUUGCUGGAGGCACCCCACCUCUUCUGUCUGCUUGUCUGAGGUAUGAGCCCCAUGCUGUUCCUGUGGAAGACGUGUUUUACACUUGAGCCCUUGAGCGUGUUAGCUGUAAGAGAUUCUUUAUUUGCAAAAUAAGGGAGAGAAGUGGAGAAGUCUUAAAUCCAUUAAAAUGGACCAGCAGUAAGUAAUAAGGAAACUUCCAGAAUGGCAUCCUUCUCCAUACUCCUGGUCUUGGCUUGGGGUCACCUUCUCCCAUCAGUGUGGAGCACGCAACGGCAUCCCUUUGGGCGGUCCUCUCCAUGGUGAUGUGCACCUGCUUGAUCCAUCUUGUGCAGAGAUUUUGCAGGCUACCUGCUCUGUUUCCACGAAGGCGGGAAGGCAGGUCCCUCGCUCACCUGGUUUUUAGGGGAGCGAAAACGUGAGUGACUGCAGAAGCCAAAAGCUCAUCAGGAUCAUUGUGAAGCAGAGGUUUCACUUCUAAGGCCCCCUCACCCUCUGCAAGUUCAUCUCUUGCCUCUAGUAGCCGUGGGCAUGGGCGAUCCUUCCCUGGAGCAGCCCUCAGACCCUGCUGACUGCAGGGCUUCCUGUGCAGGGGUGGGUGCCCGUGACUAGAUGCCAUUCACCUUAGGCGGCUCCACCUGUGGGCUCCUGCCGUGCUGCUGGCGGCUUCAAGGUCUGCCUCAUUGCAGCAUGUGAAGCAAAGGCUUUUCUCUAAUCAUCAGUUUGACUGCUUCAGGUAAGUCUCACAGCUACUGGACCCCAAACGUGUCAGGACCUUUAGCAUCUAAUAUUAAAACAAACAGCAGGGAAGGCAGCGGUUCAGACUGCUUCGCCAGACUUGCCCACGUCGGCCCAGAAUGCUCUGGGGGACGAGGACUUGGGCAGCCUUCUUGUCUGGGUUACAAGGCUCAGCUCAUCACUGCUAGUUUACACACCAACGUUCUCUCUCUCACACACUAGCAUUAACAAUGCGUCGGAACCUCAACUCUUAAGUCCUAAAGGAGAGUCCUGGUGAGAGGUCCCCAUCCAUGAAGCAAGAAGGCAGUAACAGGAAAGCAGUUACCCGUCCCUGCCUGGGCUAAGCGACAACUCUGGAUUUAUUAAUGCCGAGAGCUCUCUUCCAGCUCUGCAGAACCUUAGGGCUGGAAGGAUUUGCUAGCCACGCGUGCAGAUGCGGGCAGAGGGCUUCACCUGCUUGGACCCUGGAGGAAUUAGUUUCUGGGGCAACUGCUGAGCCUCAUCUAGCUGAGACUCGGCACCGUGCAAACCUCUGAGUUUCUAACAAACAGGCAUGAACUACAGGAAACAUGAAUGAACUUUCCACUUUCAGACAACUAACCAGUGUACAGCAAAAUUGUACAGAAAUGAAUGGAUAAUGCUAUACGAGCCAACAAAGAUGCCAAAGACUGCUGAGAAACAGUUAUCUCUUGCAAACAGCAAUGUUCAGAUAGGAGAAAUAAACAUGAACGCAACAAGCCAAGACAUCAGAUGUUGAAACAUGCCUUUUAUCUCAGAAUCUCAUCUCAAGCAAGACCAACCCUCUCCCCACCCCCAAAAUCAGUAGGAAAGGCAAUGCCUUACAUCACCCUCCCCACCACAAACCUACCCAGUGAUGACAGAUUAAGAGGGAGGAAUUACGACCAUAGCCUCAUCUUUCUCCGAGGACCUGACACAAGGCAAAGACACAUUUGCAAUUGGCACUGUUAUUUUAUUAGUACGAGUAUACUGAAACAAUAAACUUGUACUGGUAUACAGACAA